CUGUCAAUGGUAAGCGGACCAAAGGGAGCAUUAAGGAGUUGACAGACC
rnacentral:sRNA from 1 species